rnacentral:rRNA from 1 species
CCUACGGGGGGCAGCAGUGGGGAAUAUUGGACAAUGGGCGAAAGCCUGAUCCAGCCAUGCCGCGUGUGUGAAGAAGGCCUUCGGGUUGUAAAGCACUUUCAGUGGGGAAGAAAGCCUUGGGGCUAAUACCCUCGAGGAAGGACAUCACCCACAGAAGAAGCACCGGCUAACUCCGUGCCAGCAGCCGCGGUAAUACGGAGGGUGCGAGCGUUAAUCGGAAUUACUGGGCGUAAAGCGCGCGUAGGCGGUCUGAUAAGCCGGUUGUGAAAGCCCAGGGCUCAACCUGGGAACGGCAUCCGGAACUGUCAGGCUAGAGUGCAGGAGAGGAAGGUAGAAUUCCCGGUGUAGCGGUGAAAUGCGUAGAGAUCGGGAGGAACACCAGUGGCGAAGGCGGCCUUCUGGACUGACACUGACGCUGAGGUGCGAAAGCGUGGGUAGCAAACAGGAUUAGAUACCCCGGUAGUC